rnacentral:lncRNA from 1 species
GACAAUUUUAUCUUUGAAAAUCUUUUAAAAUGCUGCAUGAUGAGUUCCUGUAUGAUGAGAGUUUAAAUUCCUACCACAGCCAUAUAUACAUGCUUGCUAGACUUUGAGCUACACAUUUACUAUUUACUGCUUAUGAGCAUUGAGUGUGGUCAAGCUGUGUAGACCCUUAGGAACUUGUCAAGUGGUUAAAUCAAGAUUCACUUGCACGUUCACUCAUAUAUGCUACUUCUACUCCGGAAGUACCAUCCACAUAUAUGCAUCCAUUUCCAUCUCCAGAACCACCUAAAAAUAUUCUACUCCUAAUCCAGGAGAGAAUAACCAAAAAUAUUUUUGUUUUUCCCUUGUGAAAUAAAUGCUCGAGUUAUCUUGUUACUACCACUUGCUAUAUUAUCUCAAGAGAUGAAUGCUCUAAAAAAAAGAAAUAUGAGGAAAUAAAAAGGAGCAAGUGCUCGGAACCUCUAAAGAAAAGAGAGAGUGAGACGAGAGGUAAAAAUGGACAAGUGUCCAACGGUAGAAUUAGGGGUGCAAGAUACCCACCUGAGAGAAAAGAAAAAGAAGAGCAUCUCAUUCUCCUCAUAAAGUUUUAAAAAAGCAAGGAAGGUAUGUAUCCCCUCAAAGAGCAAAGUAGAAUUAGACUUCCACCACCAUUGUUUUCACCAUUGUUAUCACCAUCAUCACCAUACAUCAUUCAUUCGCCACACAUGCACAUCUUGAUUAAACUCAUUGGCUUGUUUCUUUGGAUCCAUGGUUUGACUAUGCAAUACAUGUCUUGUAAGUAUGUAUACUUUAUUUCCCACCUAUGAGCUCCAGAUAUUAAAGCCUUAUUAGAGUAGGGUGAGAGAGAAGGCAAUGUCACUAUGCCUUAUACCACAAAUACUACAUAUCUUGAGAGAAGGCAUAUACCAUCACUACCUUGGUAAGGAUCCAGAAAUACCACAAAAGAGAGACCUGAGAGAAUCAUACAAGGAAUCUCUGAGUUUUAUUUGAAAAUCUGCAAAAAAAAAAAACCCAGAGCUAUAGCUGAUCAAGAAUAAGAGACAUGGCACUUGACUAGACUGUUCUAUCUUUUAACUACUCAAGAUAGAAGUGACAGUUACAAGUCCCAUAGUGAAGGUAAAGUAAGUAAGUUUUGAGUCUUGACAGUUUACUCUAACUUAGAGAUGAGAUCUUAUUUAAAAAGCAUGUGUACCGUCAAUUUUUAAAUAUAUUGCAACAACUUAUGAUCCAUAGCUGAGUCUAUCCUUGCUCAGGGACGAGCAAGAGGUAAGCUUGGGGGAGUUUGUUGACGGUCCUUAAGUAUCAAAUUUAAUUAUCAAAUAAAUAAAGAAAAGGAUCCAAAUGAAAUCAACAUCUAGACUUAGGGUUUUAUCUGACAGAAUUCC